rnacentral:rRNA from 1 species
AGUGAACGCUGGCGGUAGGCCUAACACAUGCAAGUCGAACGGCAGCACAGAGGAGCUUGCUCCUUGGGUGGCGAGUGGCGGACGGGUGAGGAAUACAUCGGAAUCUACUCUGUCGUGGGGGAUAACGUAGGGAAACUUACGCUAAUACCGCAUACGACCUACGGGUGAAAGCAGGGGACCUUCGGGCCUUGCGCGAUUGAAUGAGCCGAUGUCGGAUUAGCUAGUUGGCGGGGUAAAGGCCCACCAAGGCGACGAUCCGUAGCUGGUCUGAGUGGAUGAUCGACCACACUGGAACCGAGACACGGUCCAUGCUCCUACGGGAGGCAGCAGUGGGGAAUAUUGGAAAAUGGUCGCCAGCCUGUUCCAGCCAUAGCGCGUGGGUGAAGAAGGCCUUCGGGUUGUAAAGCCCUUUUGUUGGGAAAGAAAUCCAGCUGGCUAAUACCCGGUUGGGAUGACGGUACCCAAAGAAUAAGCACCGGCUAACUUCGUGCCAGCAGCCGCGGUAA